rnacentral:rRNA from 1 species
AAUAUUGCGCAAUGGAGGGAACUCUGACGCAGCGACGCCGCGUGAGCGAUGUAGGGUUUCGGAUCGUAAAGCUCUGUUUUUGGGGAAGAAUGCGGCCAUUUAUGGGCACUUUACUGUACCCAAGGAGGAAGCCCCGGCUAACUACGUGCCAGCAGCCGCGGUAAUACGUAGGGGGCAAGCGUUGUCAGGAAGUAUUUGGUGUAAAGGGUGCGUAGGAGGCCUUUUAAGUCAGAUGAGAAGGAACACGGCGUAACCGUGGGGGUGCAGUUGAAACUGGAGGGCUUGAGUAGCGGAGAGGGUAGUGGAAGUCCCAGUGUAGCGGUGGAAUGAGUAGAUAUUGGGAGGAACACCAGUGGCGAAGGCGACUACCUGGACGAAAACUGACGCUGAGGCACGAAAGCUAGGGGAGCAAACA